GACGAACGCUGGCGGCGUGCUUAACACAUGCAAGUCGAACGGAAAGGCCCUGCUUUUGUGGGGUGCUCGAGUGGCGAACGGGUGAGUAACACGUGAGUAACCUGCCCUUGACUUUGGGAUAACUUCAGGAAACUGGGGCUAAUACCGGAUAGGAGCUCCUGCUGCAUGGUGGGGGUUGGAAAGUUUCGGCGGUUGGGGAUGGACUCGCGGCUUAUCAGCUUGUUGGUGGGGUAGUGGCUUACCAAGGCUUUGACGGGUAGCCGGCCUGAGAGGGUGACCGGCCACAUUGGGACUGAGGUACGGCCCAGACUCCUACGGGAGGCAGCAGUGGGGAAUAUAGCACAAUAGGCGGAGGCCUGAUGCAGCAACGCCGCGUGCGGGAUGACGGCCUUCGGGUUGUAAACCGCUUUCGCCUGUGACGAAGCGUGAGUGACGGUAAUGGGUAAAGAAGCACCGGCUAACUACGUG
rnacentral:rRNA from 1 species